rnacentral:rRNA from 1 species
GUGGGGAAUUUUGGACAAUGGGCGCAAGCCUGAUCCAGCAAUGCCGCGUGUGUGAAGAAGGCCUUCGGGUUGUAAAGCACUUUUGUCCGGAAAGAAAUCUCUUGGGUUAAUACCUCGGGGGGAUGACGGUACCGGAAGAAUAAGCACCGGCUAACUACGUGCCAGCAGCCGCGGUAAUACGUAGGGUGCGAGCGUUAAUCGGAAUUACUGGGCGUAAAGCGUGCGCAGGCGGCUCUGCAAGACAGAUGUGAAAGCCCCGGGCUCAACCUGGGAACUGCAUUUGUGACUGCAAGGCUAGAGUGCGUCAGAGGGAGGUGGAAUUCCGCGUGUAGCAGUGAAAUGCGUAGAGAUGCGGAGGAACACCGAUGGCGAAGGCAGCCUCCUGGGAUGACACUGACGCUCAUGCACGAAAGCGUGGGGAGCAAACAGGAUUAGAUACCCGUGUAGUCC